ensembl:lncRNA
CGCGCGGGGUGGUCUCCCGGGAAGGCCCGCGGUUCUCGGCCGGGCCGGGCGCACGGGCGGCCUGGGCUCCCGCGGAGGCCUGCUGCCACCUAGCGGGCCGGCGCCGAGGGGCCCUCGCGGCUGCGUCUUCCCGGCUGGCGGGCAGCGCGGGGCUCACGGCCGGGGCCACAGCAGGGGAUCUGAGACCCGCCCCCCGGAGAGCGGGUGGCGGGAGAGGUCUUCUGACCCUCACCGGCUAAGAACAAUAAAAUUGUCGUUUAGUCGCUCAGUCCUGUCCCACUCUGUGCGACCCCGUGGACAGUAGCCCGCCAGGCUCCUCUGUCCGUGGGAUUCUCCAGGCAGGAAUACUGGAGCGGGUUGCCACGCCCGCCUCCAGGGGAUCUCCCCCACCCGGGGAUCGAACCCGCGUCUCCUGCAAUAGCGAGCAUAUUUACCCCUGCGCCACAGGCGAAGCCCGAGUGACACGUACGCAGUAUCAAAAUGGCCUUUCUGAGAGCGGAUUCGUAUAUCUGUCUGACUGAGUCCCUUCGCUGUACACCUGAAGCUGAUACACAGCACAGACCUGUGCAACAGUCUCCAGCCUCCCCAGCCAGCGGGAGAGAUUCUUUAAUGUCUCAGCCAGCAGAAAGCCCACAAGUUAGACCCACCCAGCGACCCUCAGCAGAUGGAAGAAAAGAUUUUCCACCUCUACGAAUUUUAAUCCUUACAUUUACUUGCUGUCCUUUUAUUUUAGAAGGACAAAAUGAGGCUCAGAGAGCUUAAAUGACCUCCAAAUUGUAGGUUUUCAGAUAAAAUACAUAGGAGAGCCCUUCUGGGGAAUCCCCCACACCAGGGGUUUGUGAACUGCAUGUGUAUACCUAAAAAGUCAUCACCAAAUCUCAGGUUAUAGGUUUUCUCUUAUGUUCUCUUCCUGGAG